UACGUAGGGGGCAAGCGUUAUCCGGAUUUAUUGGGUUUAAAGGGUGCGUAGGCGGUCCGGAAAGUCAGCGGUAAAAGCCCGGGGCUCAACCCCGGCGAGCCGUUGAAACUGUCGGACUAGAGACGGCGAGAAGAACGCGGAAUGCGCGGUGUAGCGGUGAAAUGCAUAGAUAUCGCGCAGAACUCCGAUUGCGAAGGCAGCAUGCCGGCUCCACACUGACGCUGAGGCACGAAAGCGUGGGUAUCGAACAGG
rnacentral:rRNA from 1 species